CAGUCGCCGCGGGAAUACGAAGGGUGCAAGCGUUAAUCGGAAUUACUGGGCGUAAAGCGUGCGCAGGCGGUUGUGUAAGACAGGUGUGAAAUCCCCGGGCUUAACCUGGGAACUGCGCUUGUGACUGCACGGCUAGAGUAUGGCAGAGGGGGGUGGAAUUCCACGUGUAGCAGUGAAAUGCGUAGAGAUGUGGAGGAACACCGAUGGCGAAGGCAGCCCCCUGGGCCAAUACUGACGCUCAUGCACGAAAGCGUGGGGAGCAAACAGGAUUAGAUACCCCCGUAGUCCCUGUCUCUUAUAC
rnacentral:rRNA from 1 species